AUACUUACCUGACAGGGGAGAUACCAUGAUCAUGAAAGUGGUUUUUCCCAGGGUGAGGCUUAUCCAUUGCACUUUGGGUGUACUGAUCCCUGUGAUUUCCCAGAAUGUGGGCAACUCAACUGCAUAAUUUAUGGUAGUUGGUAACUGUGUUUGCUUUUCCCCC
rnacentral:snRNA from 1 species